AGCAACGGAAGUGACGUAAGAGCAGCCAGACCUGGAGGGCUUGGGUAAAAAUGGCUGAAUAUUUAGCUUCGAUAUUCGGGACUGAGAAGGACAAAUCGGGGUCUGCCGGCACGGGGACCGGUGCUCCCGGCUUCACAACAAGCCGACAUUCAGCCAGGCUCCUCCCACCGGUCUUCGUGCCGUUUUCCCGGGAACUUGGUCGCGCCCCCAUGCGUACAGGCUACACACGGCGGCUGUUCAUCUUUGCCAGUCCCUUCCAUCCCGCUGUUCAUCCUUGCCAGUCCCCUCCAUCCCUUUUCUGGUUUCUUAGGGGCAAAGGAUCGCCGAUGCACUCAUGAUGCUUAGGCUGGGGUGUAAGGUUCCACCCCCAACCUUCAUGCCUCACUCUCUGUUCAUGCAGCCCUGCCCUCUGAGCUCAGGCCCCGCCCCUUUUAAAUUCUGUGCAGACCAUAGUGCUGCUCAACCUGUACCGGAAU
rnacentral:lncRNA from 1 species